UGGAACCUGAUGAACAACUUUAAAACUUUGGGUUUGAUUCCCAGUGAAUGCAUGAACUGAACAAACCUUAAAUGCAAUGCAAGUUGCUUUGAAUUAAAUGUCAAAUAUUAAUGCAUAGAGGUCAUUUAGAUACAGAACUCUUAAAUGGUACAUUGUUAGUCUCUUUCACAAGAGUCAACACAUCGUGAUCUCUCAGCACAUAUUGGAAGAGAUUGUAAAAUGCCUUAAGGCUCAGAGAGAAUGGAAAUGGUAACUAAAAACUGAAACUGGCCUUUUACAGUGGACUGAUAUUACAAAGGGACGUCAUUAAUAACACUACAGAACUGUUAAAGUGAUCAGUUUGGCCCCUUUAAUGCAGUUUUUAAAUCUCAGAUUGGUGUUCAUGUUUUUUAUUUUUAAUUCUAAAAUCACAUAUAUUCUACAGCACGGAUGAAGAUCUGUGGUUUGAUUGGUGCUGUGGCCUGGUGGUGAUCAGAUGAGCCUCAUUUGCAUUGCUAAACAGCAUACAGGUGAAUGUCAGUAACGAUCCUUGAUUACCGCAGCCAUGCUGACCUUUCACCACCAACAAAAUAUGUGCUGCACGAUCAGAGUGCAUCGUGUGAGACUGACUGUGCUGAUGUCCCUGAAGGUCAAACACUUAACCUCGCCGUCGCUGAAGUGUGGAACUGUGCAAAUGAAAUCGAAGAGUUUGAGGAGUUAGAACAUUCACAAGCUCAGAUGAGAGCACUCAUCACUGAGUAGUGUUCAAGACAAGGAGAUGAACCUUCAAUGUCCUUCACCGAUCAUCAUUUCAAGUGUGGUCUGACGUGACCGAAAGAUCAUAUCUGAGCGGAUUCAGAGCCUGAAGGGGUCGAACACUUAUAAGAGAAGAAACACAUGUUCAUUCACAGAGGAAGAGCUGCAGCGUGAUCCGCUGACGUUUGAAGAAUGAUCGUCCACGUAUCUGUCGAGUAAAACCUGGAGAAGUCCUUUAAAACUGACUGCACCAUUAUUAUCAUCAUCAAUCAUCAAAUCUGUUUGAAAUGUAUUUUUGAAUGUUCUCUGAACCAUCGG
ensembl:lncRNA